rnacentral:lncRNA from 1 species
CACUUUGGGAGGCCGAGGUGGGAGGAUCACUUGAGCCCGUGAGUUCUAGACCAGCCUGGCAACAUAGAGAGACUCUGUCUCUACAAAAAAAUACAAAAAUUAUCAGACAUAGUGGCAUGCAUCUGUAGUCCAAGCUACAUAGGAGGCUGAAGUGGGAGAAUUGCUUGAGUCCAGGGGAGGUGGGUCAAGGCUGCAGUGAGCUUUGAUCACACCACUGCACUCCAUUCUGGGCAACAUAGCAAAAUCCUGUCUCAAAAAUAUUUAUCAGUAGGAAAUGCAGGAGGGCACAGUGGCUCAUGCCUGUAAUGCCAACGCUCUGGGAGGCCAAGGCAGGAGGAUCACUGGAGGCCAGGAGUUCAAGACCAGCCUGGGCAACAUAGUGAGACCCCAUCUCUACAAAAAAAAAUUAUCCAGGCAAGGUGGUACAUGCCUA